rnacentral:rRNA from 1 species
GACGAACGCUGGCGGCAUGCCUAAUACAUGCAAGUCGAACGCUGAAGCACUCUGCUUGCAGAGUGCGGAUGAGUGGCGAACGGGUGAGUAACACGUGGGAAAUCUGCCUAUAAGAGGGGGAUAACAUUCGGAAACGGAUGCUAAUACCGCAUAUAUUCUUGGACCGCCUGGUCCUUGAAAGAAAGACGGCUUUGCUGUCGCUUAUAGAUGAUCCCGCGGCGUAUUAGUUAGUUGGUGGGGUAAAGGCCUACCAAGACAAUGAUACGUAGCCGACCUGAGAGGGUGAUCGGCCACACUGGGACUGAGACACGGCCCAGACUCCUACGGGAGGCAGCAGUAGGGAAUCUUCCACGAUGGGCGAAAGCCUGAUGGAGCAAUGCCGCGUGAAUGAAGAAGGUCUUCGGAUCGUAAAGUUCUGUUAUUAGGGAAGAACAAGUCAAGGAGUAACUGUCUUGACUUUGACGGUACCUAACCAGAAAGUCACGGCUAACUACGUG